GACGAACGCUGGCGGCAUGCCUAACACAUGCAAGUCGAACGAAACCUUCGGGGCUAGUGGCGCACGGGUGCGUAACGCGGGGGAACCUGCCCUUAGGUUCGGAAUAACUCCCCGAAAGGGGUGCUAAUACCGGACAGUGUCUUCGGACCAAAGAUUUAUCGCCUUUGGAUGGGCCCGCGUUGGAUUAGCUAGUUGGUAGGGUAAAAGCCUACCAAGGCGACGAUCCAUAGCUGGUCUGAGAGGAUGAUCAGCCACACUGGGACUGAGACACGGCCCAGACUCCUACGGGAGGCAGCAGUGAGGAAUAUUGGACAAUGGGCGAAAGCCUGAUCCAGCAAUGCCGCGUGAGUGAUGAAGGCCUUAGGGUUGUAAAGCUCUUUUAACCGGGAUGAUAAUGACAGUACCGGGAGAAUAAGCUCCGGCUAACUACGUG
rnacentral:rRNA from 1 species